UGGGGAAUAUUGCACAAUGGAGGGAACUCUGAUGCAGCGACGCCGCGUGAACGAAGAAGGCUUUCGAGUCGUAAAGUUCUUUUAUAUGGGAAGAUAAUGACGGUACCAUAAGAAGAAGCUCCGGCUAACUACGUGCCAGCAGCCGCGGUAAUACGUAGGGGGCUAGCGUUGUCCGGAAUCACUGGGCGUAAAGGGUUCGCAGGCGGAAAUGCAAGUCAGGUGUAAAAGGCAGUAGCUUAACUACUGUAAGCAUUUGAAACUGCAUAUCUUGAGAAGAGUAGAGGUAAGUGGAAUUUUUAGUGUAGCGGUGAAAUGCGUAGAUAUUAAAAAGAAUACCGGUGGCGAAGGCGACUUACUGGGCUCAUUCUGACGCUGAGGAACGAAAGCGUGGGUAGCAAACAGG
rnacentral:rRNA from 1 species